rnacentral:rRNA from 1 species
UGGCUCAUUAAAUCAGUUAUCGUUUAUUUGAUAGUACCUUACUACUUGGAUAACCGUGGUAAUUCUAGAGCUAAUACAUGCUAAAAACCCCGACUUCGGAAGGGGUGUAUUUAUUAGAUAAAAAACCAAUGCCCUUCGGGGCUCUUUGGUGAAUCAUGAUAACUUAACGAAUCGCAUGGCCUUGCGCCGGCGAUGGUUCAUUCAAAUUUCUGCCCUAUCAACUUUCGAUUGUAGGAUAGAGGCCUACAAUGGUUUCAACGGGUAACGGGGAAUUAGGGUUCUAUUCCGGAGAGGGAGCCUGAGAAACGGCUACCACAUCCAAGGAAGGCAGCAGGCGCGCAAAUUACCCAAUCCCGAUACGGGGAGGUAGUGACAAUAAAUACUGAUACAGGGCUCUUUUGGGUCUUGUAAUUGGAAUGAGUACAAUUUAAAUACCUUAACGAGGAACAAUUGGAGGGCAAGUCUGGUGCCAGCAGCCGCGGUAAUUCCAGCUCCAAUAGCGUAUAUUAAAGUUGUUGCAGUUAAAAAGCUCGUAGUUGAACCUUGGGCCUGGCUGGCCGGUCUGCCUCACCGCAUGUACUGGUUCGGCCGGGUCUUUCCUCCUGGGGAUCCGCAUGCCCUUCACUGGGUGUGUUGGGGAACCAGGACUUUUACUUUGAAAAAAUUAGAGUGUUCAAAGCAGGCCUUUGCUCGAAUACAUUAGCAUGGAAUAAUAGAAUAGGACGUGCGGUCCUAUUUUGUUGGUUUCUAGGACCGCCGUAAUGAUUAAUAGGGAUAGUCGGGGGCAUCAGUAUUCAGUUGUCAGAGGUGAAAUUCUUGGAUUUACUGAAGACUAACUACUGCGAAAGCAUUUGCCAAGGAUGUUUUCAUUAAUCAGUGAACGAAAGUUAGGGGAUCGAAGACGAUCAGAUACCGUCGUAGUCUUAACCGUAAACUAUGCCGACUAGGGAUCGGGCGAUGUUAUUCUUUUGACUCGCUCGGCACCUUACGAGAAAUCAAA